CGCGGGAUAGAGCAGUUUGGUAGCUCGUCGGGCUCAUAACCCGAAGGUCAGGGGUUCAAAUCCCUUUCCCGCAACCA
rnacentral:tRNA from 1 species